rnacentral:rRNA from 1 species
CAGUCGAACGGAACUGUUUUGAAAGAUUUCUUCGGAAUGAAUUUGAUUUACUUUAGUGGCGGACGGGUGAGUAACGCGUGAGUAACCUGCCUUCAAGAGGGGGAUAACAUUCUGAAAAGAAUGCUAAUACCGCAUGACAUAUCGGAACCACAUGGUUUUGAUAUCAAAGAUUUUAUCGCUUGAAGAUGGACUCGCGUCCGAUUAGUUAGUUGGUGAGGUAACGGCUCACCAAGACCGCGAUCGGUAGCCGGACUGAGAGGUUGAACGGCCACAUUGGGACUGAGACACGGCCCAGACUCCUACGGGAGGCAGCAGUGGGGGAUAUUGCGCAAUGGGGGCAACCCUGACGCAGCAACGCCGCGUGAAGGAUGAAGGUUUUCGGAUUGUAAACUUCUUUUAUUAAGGACGAAAAAUGACGGUACUUAAUGAAUAAGCUCCGGCUAACUACGUGCCAGCAGCCGCGGUAAUACGUAGGGAGCAAGCGUUGUCCGGAUUUACUGGGUGUAAAGGGUGCGUAGGCGGCUUUGCAAGUCAGAUGUGAAAUCUAUGGGCUCAACCCAUAAACUGCAUUUGAAACUGUAGAGCUUGAGUGAAGUAGAGGCAGGCGGAAUUCCCCGUGUAGCGGUGAAAUGCGUAGAGAUGGGGAGGAACACCAGUGGCGAAGGCGGCCUGCUGGGCUUUAACUGACGCUG